UAUGUGAUCGUCUCUCGCAUAUCAAUAAGCGGAGGAAAAGAAACUAACAAGGAUUCCCCUAGUAACGGCGAGUGAAGCGGGAAGAGCUCAAAUUUGAAAUCUUAAAGGGUUUCCCUUUACGAAUUGUAGUUUAAAGAAGUGUUUUCUGUUGAGGUUUUGGUAAAAGUUCUUUGGAAUAGGACAUCAUAGAGGGUGAGAAUCCCGUAUUUGACCUUUACUUUCAACUUUGUGAUACACUUUCAAAGAGUCGGAUUGUUUGGGAAUGCAGUCCAAAAUGGGUGGUAAAUUUCAUCUAAAGCUAAAUAUUGGCGAGAGACCGAUAGCGAACAAGUACCGUGAGGGAAAGAUGAAAAGAACUUUGAAAAGAGAGUUAAACAGUACGUGAAAUUGUCAAAAGGGAAGCGUUUGACACCAGUGUUGUUUUUCUGAAAAUCAAUUAAAGGAACUGUUUAUGCUAAGUUGUUUAGACUUUAUCAGCUAUCUGUUUAGUUUUGAGCUUUUCUUUAAUGCACUUUUCAGUUAACAAGUCAACAUCAAUUUCUUUUGCUGUAAAAAAGCUUGAGGAAGGUGGCUUGAUGAUUCGUCUUAAGUGUUUAUAGCCUCUUGCCUAUGCAGUCGGAGAGAUUGAGGUCUGCAGCGUAGAUCCUUCGGGGCUAAAUGCAUUUGUGCUAAGUUAUAGCAUUUCAUAGACAACUUGUUGACUAUGAUUUGUCUUGUAGCUUACUCGCUUAUGUUAUUUUACCUACGCUUAGGAUGUUGACUGAUAUGUAGUCGUA
rnacentral:rRNA from 1 species